CAGUGAUGUACCAUACACAUUAAGAAGUUUGUAUCCAGCUGUUAAUUGCCUGCACCAUCCAUCCCCUCAUCUACAAUUUAGCAUUGUAGCAAAUCAAUAAUUUUACUGUGUCCAAAUCACACCUAAGAGAAUGAGAUGUUGUGUUCCUUCAAUAUAUGCUUGUAAAAAAUCCAGAAAAGAGAAUGCAAGGAAUCCUGCCUCCUCAAAGAGCUGUGAAGAGGUUGUAGUGGACAAAGACUCGGCGGGGUUUUAGAAUGGCUCGUGGCUUACUGCUCUCCCGAGAUGCUUCCAAGGUAACAUCCCGCUUGGUGUUUCGGUCAAACAUUCGAAAGAAGUUGUUAUAUGCACCUGUCAUAAU